rnacentral:rRNA from 1 species
UACGUAGGGUGCAAGCGUUGUCCGGAAUCAUUGGGCGUAAAGCGCGUGUAGGCGGCCCGGUAAGUCCGCUGUGAAAGUCCAGGGCUCAACCCUGGGAUGCCGGUGGAUACUGUCGGGCUCGAGUCCGGAAGAGGCGAGUGGAAUUCCUGGUGUAGCGGUGAAAUGCGCAGAUAUCAGGAGGAACACCGAUGGCGAAGGCAGCUCGCUGGGACGUGACUGACGCUGAGACGCGAAAGCGUGGGGAGCAAACAGG